AAAGAGACAAAGCCUAGAUCCCACACAGCUAGAAAUCCUAGAGCUAUGGCACGUGAUAGCGAAGCUCGCUGCACAGCACAGUGCUGCUUACACCACUGAGCAAAACCAACCCCAACGAAACAAUAACCCCCAAGAAAGCACAUAUAAGGGAGAUCCCUUCCCACAAAAUUCAUGAAUGGCCAAGUGAGCCUAUUCAACGCCAAGAAAAAGGUCCUACUGCCUAGUCAUUAUCCCAAAGCCUCUCGAUAGUCAAAAUAGCAAUCUAUCUCCUUUGGUUAUGGAGGAGAAGAAUGGUAGAGCUCACAGUUUUUCAAUCUCUUGUAGCCAUAGGGGACUGACAACUACCAUUUA
rnacentral:misc_RNA from 1 species